UACAGAGGGUGCAAGCGUUAAUCGGAAUUACUGGGCGUAAAGCGCGCGUAGGUGGUUCGUUAAGUUGGAUGUGAAAUCCCCGGGCUCAACCUGGGAACUGCAUUCAAAACUGACGAGCUAGAGUACGGUAGAGGGUGGUGGAAUUUCCUGUGUAGCGGUGAAAUGCGUAGAUAUAGGAAGGAACACCAGUGGCGAAGGCGACCACCUGGACUGAUACUGACACUGAGGUGCGAAAGCGUGGGGAGCAAACAGG
rnacentral:rRNA from 1 species